GCAACUUUAACCAGAGGACCGGACUUCCGCAUCAACCCUUCAGAAUAAAAGCUCCGGUCUCACAACAGGAGCAACAGUUUGUGCUCUUUCCUGGUUUUAAGGAUGUUUGUAGGUUAUUUUUAAUUUUUCUUCAUCUUCAGGCUCAAUGCCUCCAACUCCUUAGAAUAAUCUCAUGAGUGGAUCUCUGGGAUUGGUUGGACCUAAAGAACCAAGAAUCCUCCAGAACCCGACUCUAUGUGGACCAGUUAGAACUUGGUAGGUCAUCAUCUUAACGCAUUGAGCUGUUAUGAAGCUGUUAUGAAGUGCAGCACGUCCUGCGGUCACUGAACUCUUAUUUUGAAAGAGCCAGACCAGAAGCUACUGAUUAAGUCAUGUGACCUGUAUCACAUGAUUCAUGUCCUGCAGAAAUGAUUAUAACAGACCUUGUUUUGUGUAAUAAUAAAGUGUAGUAAUAAAUGAAUAUGAAAUAAAAGUUUCCAGCUCUUUAUUGUUUUCCUGCUCAGAAACAUGGUUUUAAGUCAUGAAACUCAUUUAUAUUUAUCUUCUCACAGCAAACAUCCAGGUUUCUACAUUCAGCGAUGAAUCCUAAUAUUUCUACUUCAUCCCACCUGAUAAAAAUCACAACAACGACACACGGAGUAAAAGCAGGAAGGCUUCCAGGAGCUGAUCGGGUUCAUUUGUGGUGGUGGGAGGUCCGACUACGACCUUAAAAAAUCAAAGUGAUGAAAA